UUUCGAACCUUUAGAAUAUAUUUCUUGUCUACCCAUUUUUUACAUUUAUCAACCAUAGGAUUUAGAGAAGAAUAGAAGCUUAAAGAAAAAAACAUGAGAGGAUCCAUUUUCGAAUAUAAGUCACUCAUUGUUGAAUGGAAGGAAUAUUGAGGAGGAAUCUUGCAUUGAGCCUCCGUCGAGAUCAACAGGACAUUAAUAUAUAGAUUUUACAAAUGUGUAAAAUAUAUAACUUACAGAUGUGUAAAUACAUAUAGACAUGUGUAAAUACAUAUAUAUUUUGAUGAGGUGAAAAAUCCUUUCCAAAGGGCACUGCCAAUUAAUAGUCAACUACGGAUGUUAUAUGACUAUGCUAUAAUAAAGUUAUAUACUAUAAUUUCCUUCAUGAAGAAGCACCUUUUAGCCUUUUUGAAAAGCUACACAUCCACACUGGUAAAUGAAAGUAAAUACACCAAUUCCCAAUACACGAAACGUCAAGACAAAAGAAAAAUACACAAGACAGUUCAUUUCAUGCCAUCAAAGAAUGUUUGAGAAUCAUCAUGAGGACUUGAAUGUAGCUUCAAUGGAAGACAAUGAGUGUUGAUUCCAUUUCACCCAACAACCACCUCUUGAAUAAUCACAUCACAUAUGUAUGUAUACGGUGCAUAGCGUAAAAAUGGAGCAUCUAUACGCUUUGAGAAAACAAUACGAAAGAAUUUGGGACUAAGGGGAUUCAUACCCUUUCCUCACACACAUAAUGACGGCAGCUGUUGCUUUCCCCUAACAUCGCCGCUCUCUUUUCCAAUGAUGACAUUGGUAUACACCUGAUAUCAAGGUCAUGCUAGCAAGUUAUUGGUUUGAACUAAAUUUAACCCAACACUGACCAACUCAACUUCAUGCUAGUAAGUUAUCGAUUUGAACUAAAUUUAACCCAACACUGAUCAACUCAAGGUCUUGCUAGUAAGUUAUUGGUUUGAACAAAAUUUAACCAAACACUGCCCAACGAUGUCUUGGCCUGUCAUGGACUGACACAUAAGCUGAGAAAACCCAAACUGACAACUCUACACUAAACUAAUGUGCUUAAAAGGCACCACAAAAAGUAGCAUCAAAAUGCUUCUUUCUGCACCAUUUAUGUAUAUGAAGCAUUCAGAUGUUUCUUCUGCAAAAUGUUGUUACAUUAAUCCAGGAACUACGGUAGAUGUAUAAUGUAUUUAAUUUAAUUCU